CACGCAUGUGAUGAACAACCAAGAGACUUAAUACUGAAACCUGAUGUUAUAUUGCAAUGUGCUGAUGUGC
ensembl:snoRNA SNORD82 Small nucleolar RNA SNORD82